AGGUCGUUGUUGCAUCAACUUCGGAGCAUAUGACAUAAAUUGCACAAUUGCGGCGUGACCUGCCGUCGGCCACGCCGAAUUUGGCUUCACAAGGUCUAUCGAAUAUGGAGGGUCAAGGCACUCCUAAAUGUACUUCACCAUUCGAUCCCUUCAACGCGCCACCUUGCGGAGAAUGUCCUCACACGUUUCUGACCCUGCCAACUUGUUCCCGCUUUUCAGCAAUGUGGCCCUUUAAAUCUCACUUUUGGUUGUGGCAUACGAUAAUUGAGUAUCGAUAUGUCUGCAAAUGCAACAAGCCCAGUCUUGUCAAUUAUAUAUUUUUAAAAUCGCACAGAUCGACUAGAAAAAGGAGGACAACAAAUAUUAAGAGGAUAGAAAACUGCAUGUUUUAUGGCAAGCGUUGAAAUAUUUGGAAAAAUGAUCAAUUUCCGACCACAAACAGCUAAGUCAAGCUAAUAAAAGUCAGAUCUGUUGGCCAAGAUUGUUAUGGUCGGCAGAAAGAUCGAUAGGCGAAGGAUAUCGAUGGGGGACCAUCUUGAGAAAAAGAGGAAGAAAAGAAAAAAAAGACCGCGUGCGCAUGCGCUGCGAGGAGGUUUUAAAAAAAGAAUUCAAAUAAAUUGGUUGUAAAAAAAUU